rnacentral:rRNA from 1 species
CCCCUAGUAACGGCGAGUGAAGCGGGAAAAGCCCAGCGCCGAACCUUCGAGCUCUUUCAGUUCGACGGAGUGUGGCGUUCAGGACCGUUGUCAAGCUUGUUCGAAGACGUCCAAGUUCCCUUGAAUGGGACUUCCCAUAGAGGGUGUCAGGCCCGUAUGGCGUUCUUCUGCGAGUGGAUGGCGGAUUCUAAGAGUCGGGUUGUUUGGGAAUGCAGCCCAAAGUGGGUGGUAAACUCCAUCUAAGGCUAAAUAUUCGGACGAGACCGAUAGCGAACAAGUACCGUGAGGGAAAGUUGAAAAGCACUCUGAAGAGAGAGUUCAAUAGUACGUGAAACCGUUGAGAGGUAAACGGUGAAGGCAUUAAUUAACAUGGCGAGCAACAUUCAACUCUUCGGUCGUCGAACUGGGCGUUGUGGUACCGCAAGGGCCCGGCGUUUAGUCUCGGCGAUUGGGGUGUGCACUUUUUGCUCGCCUGUGUCACGACCCGUUGUUCGGAGGUGAUAGAUCCGCGGUUGUGAAAUUGAACGACUUCGGUUGUUUGGUUUUUUCUGCGAGACGGCGACCUCUGGGCGACGGUGCUAGUGUGGAGCGUCCUCUCUUUCAGGGCGUCGGCCCGUUUCGUGUUGCGGCUGCCUCGCCUUGGACUGCUUGCAGUGCUUGGCUUGUAGUGGUUGUGAACGGAGCGGUUUUCGGCGGUGGCGUUCCCGGUCAGUGGCUACGCAUGUCCUUCACCGACCCGUCUUGAAACACGGACCAAGGAGUCUAACAUGUGUGCGAGUCUCAAGGGAGUUGUAAAACCCGCAGGCGUAAUGAAAGUGAAGGUCGUCGUUGGAUGUCCGAGGCGGGAGGCCCUGCUUCGGUGGGGUUGCACCGCCGUCCCGUCCAUUGAGCCUCGUCUCACGGGCGGAGAAUGAGCAUACACGUUGGGACCCGAAAGAUGGUGAACUAUGCCUGAACAGGAUGAAGCCAGGGGAAACCCUGGUGGAGGUCCGUAGCGAUUCUGACGUGCAAAUCGAUCGUCUGAUUUGGGUAUACGGGCGA